rnacentral:rRNA from 1 species
GAUGAACGCUGGCGGCGUGCCUAAUACAUGCAAGUCGAGCGAACGGACGAGAAGCUUGCUUCUCUGAUGUUAGCGGCGGACGGGUGAGUAACACGUGGAUAACCUACCUAUAAGACUUGGAUAACUUCGGGAAACCGGAGCUAAUACCGGAUAAUAUUUUGAACCGCAUGGUUCAAAAGUGAAUGACGGUCUUGCUGUCACUUAUAGAUGGAUCCGCGCUGCAUUAGCUAGUUGGUAAGGUAAUGGUUUACCAAGGCAACGAUGCAUAGCCGACCUGAGAGGGUGAUCGGCCACACUGGAACUGAGACACGGGCCAGACUCCUACGGGAGGCAGCAGUAGGGAAUCUUCCGCAAUGGGCGAAAGCCUGACGGAGCAACGCCGCGUGAGUGAUGAAGGUCUUCGGAUCGUAAAACUCUGUUAUUAGGGAAGAACAUAUGUGUAAGUAACUGUGCACAUCUUGACGGUACCUAAUCAGAAAGCCACGGCUAACUACGUG